GAACACCUCCAGGAAUGGGGACUUCCCCCAUCGUGUGCAGCUGUGCCACUGCAGCACCACUCUUCUGGAGGAGAAAUUGUUCCCAAUAUCCAACCCGAACUUCCCUUGGAGCAGCUUAAGGCCAUUACCCUCAUUUGUUGCCCUUGCCAUCCAUCACUGCCAUUCGUCAGCUUCAUUUCAUGUUGGAGGGCAUCAGUGGUGUCCCCUCUUGUUCUGGACACAGUUCCUCCAUUCCGUUUGGAAUUUAACUCCUCCCUCAGGGGCAGAGAGGGGCUGCAGGGACCCCAUCCAGGAGGAAUGGGAGGUGAACCAUCAGGGGAUGGGGGAAGUCAGUCUCUUCCUCCGCCACCUGCCUGGCUUCUCGCAGAGCUCCCUCCCCGCAGCACGGAGAGGCACAAACAGCUCUCGUUAGAAGCUGCUGAUAACAGGAGCCCACUGUGCUGUGUGAGCAGACACUGACUGCACAAGGGCAGUGAUUCACCUGAGGAGGAUUAUCUCAGAGUCCCACAGGGGACUGGCAUCGCCCCUAUGGGAUCACAGGAAGAGGGAUGCUUCCUCUGCAAGAGGAUAAAGCAAGCGGCGGGUGGAGAAAAAGAAGCAGAAGCAAUAAAUGAAAGUGAUGGUGGUCACA